UUCGGGGUACUCGAGUGGCGAACGGGUGAGUAACACGUGGGUGAUCUGCCCUGCACUUUGGGAUAAGCCUGGGAAACUGGGUCUAAUACCGAAUACACCUCGCUGGCCGCAUGGUCUGGUGGGGGAAAGCUUUUGCGGUGUGGGAUGGGCCCGCGGCCUAUCAGCUUGUUGGUGGGGUGAUGGCCUACCAAGGCGACGACGGGUAGCCGGCCUGAGAGGGUGACCGGCCACACUGGGACUGAGAUACGGCCCAGACUCCUACGGGAGGCAGCAGUGGGGAAUAUUGCACAAUGGGCGCAAGCCUGAUGCAGCGACGCCGCGUGGGGGAUGACGGCCUUCGGGUUGUAAACCCCUUUCAGCACAGACGAAGCGCGAGUGACGGUAUGUGCAGAAGAAGGACCGGCCAACUACGUGCCAGCAGCCGCGGUAAUACGUAGGGUCCGAGCGUUGUCCGGAAUUACUGGGCGUAAAGAGCUCGUAGGUGGUUUGUCGCGUUGUUCGUGAAAACUCACAGCUCAACUGUGGGCGUGCGGGCGAUACGGGCAGACUGGAGUACUGCAGGGGAGACUGGAAUUCCUGGUGUAGCGGUGGAAUGCGCAGAUAUCAGGAGGAACACCGGUGGCGAAGGCGGGUCUCUGGGCAGUAACUGACGCUGAGGAGCGAAAGCGUGGGGAGCGAACAGGAUUAGAUACCCUGGUAGUCCACGCCGUAAACGGUGGGUACUAGGUGUGGGUUUCCUUUCCUUGGGAUCCGUGCCGUAGCUAACGCAUUAAGUACCCCGCCUGGGGAGUACGGCCGCAAGGCUAAAACUCAAAGAAAUUGACGGGGGGCCCGCACAAGCGGCGGAGCAUGUGGAUUAAUUCGAUGCAACGCGAAGAACCUUACCUGGGUUUGACAUGCACAGGACGUGCCUAGAGAUAGGUAUUCCCUUGUGGGCCUGUGUGCAGGUGGUGCAUGGGCUGUCGUCAGCUCGUGUCGUGAGAUGUUUGGGGUUAAGUCCCGCAACGAGCGCAAACCCUUGUCUUUAUGUUGGCCCAGCAACGUAAUGGUGGGGAACCCUCGUAAGAGACUGCCGGGGUCAACUCGGAGGAAGGUGGGGAUGACGUCAAGUCAUCAUGCCCCUUAUGUCCAGGGCUUCACACAUGCUACAAUGGCCGGUACAAAGGGCUGCGAUGCCGUGAGGUGGAGCGAAUCCUUUCAAAGCCGGUCUCAGUUCGGAUCGGGGUCUGCAACUCGACCCCGUGAAGUCGGAGUCGCUAGUAAUCGCAGAUCAGCAACGCUGCGGUGAAUACGUUCCCGGGCCUUGUACACACCGCCCGUCACGUCAUGAAAGUCGGUAACACCCGAAGCCGGUGGCCU
rnacentral:rRNA from 1 species